rnacentral:lncRNA from 1 species
UCUCGAACUCCUGACCUCAGGUGAUCUGCCCAACUCGGCCUCCCAAAGUGCUGGGAUGACAGGCGUGAGCCACCGUGCCUGACCCACAGAGGGCAUUUCUGUGAUGACAGUGCAUGCCAGGCUACAAUGCGUUGUGGAGUCAAUGUGACAUGAAGGGAGAAAAAACAGGGGACACUUACGAGAGGCUUGACUAAAAGAGAAGACAUGAGGGGUCAUAGAGACUUCAGGUGGAAGGAAGGUUUCAUUUUGUUUUUUAGUACGGGAAAUACUUGAAUGAGUAUGUAUGGCUAAGGAGAGGUGGAGCUUAAAGAUUCAGAAAAGUCUCAGGACGAAAGAGAGGACCUUAGAGCAAGGUCCCGGAGGACACAGGAAGAAAUGGGAUCCCGAUGACAUACCCCUCUUCCUGAAACAUUCUUAGCUCACAUCAGCGGAAACAGACUCUGAGACUCUGAGGUUUUCAUGAAGGAGGAUUACUGGGGGGAGAUCUGAGGAACCAGCCCUGACAGGGAGACCUCAUGGAAAACGAGGGUGGCUGAGGCAUGGAGGUUUGUAGAGCGUCGCAGGCAAUGGAGGAAAUUCUUUCCUGAUGGACUCCUUUUUCUUUUCAAAAUGAGAAAUUGUUGAAAAAAAGUGCUCGAGAUCUCCAGAAGAGUGGAAAAGGCCUGGAAUGACCUUAGAUGACAGUAGGAAUCACAAGCUGGGAUUAGUUUGUACCCUGGAGGGUGCAACAAAGAUCAGAUGCCAUAAAUCUGUGGUGUUACCAUCUUUUAGGCUGAGUGAUUUUUCCCUAGUCGGGCUCUGCAUCCCAGAAAUACAAGCAGAAGAGGAGGCUGAGGGUGAGGUUAACCUAAGGCACAUUUCUGGGCUUCUGGCCUACUCUCUACUCCUGCUGGGCGCCUGUCUCCAGCUGGGACGAAGGGAAGAGCCUGCAGGUCAUGCCUCUACUUGAAGCUUCCUUCUCUCUCUCAGGGUUGCUAUUUAUUAUGUCUUGGCCAGUGCACCAAUCCAAAAGUUGAAAAAAAGCAGAGUACACAUCAAACCAUUCCCAGAAUCAAACUCUAGGAUGAUUUAAAGAUCAGUGAGUCAGAUACAUGUGGAUUAAAUUUUCCUCUAACUACAUACUUGGUUAGAAAAUCCUAGCCUGGGACUUGGAAGUGAUGGGUCCUGUUUGGGACACCCAAGUUGCUAUAAAGAGGUACAACGUGUGUUCAGUUCCAGUCCCUGGAUCAUCAGGCAAGGUCUGAAAACCUCUGUUUGAGACGGCAUAAAUUCCCAGGACUGCAGACCACUGGACCAAACUUCUAGGAGGCAAGACUUGUGGACCCUGGUGAGAACCCAAGCCAAACCUUUCAUGGGGCCAGCCUUGGGAGAAACUGGCCCUGCUUGGCUGGCUUCUGCUACCGUCACUCAUCCUUUCUAAGUGAGGGCAGCCUUGAGGCCACAAAACAAAGGCCAAAAUGGCUUCAAGGACAGUAAGCUCAAGGUUUCAAAAGAUUGUGACUUCCGUUCUGCUGGCUGACCCUCUCUCCAGCCUUCUCAGCUUGCAUAUCUCCAUGAAGCAAGCUGCCAUGUUGGCAAGACCUACGUGGCAAGGAUUUGAGAGCAUCCUCUGGCCAGCAGCAAGCUAGGAACCGAGGCCCUCAGUCCAACAACCAUCAAGGGACUGAAUUCUGCCAACAAACAUGUGAACUUGGAUGUGGAUCCUUCCCCAGCCCCGACCUCUGCCAUCCCCCAACACAUAGACACACACAGUGUUAUUUCCAGGGAAGAGGAGGAUAGUCCUGGUCAAUAGCAGUGGACACACUGGAGGUUUCCCCUCAAGGUAAGAGUGUCAUUCAUUUGCACAUUCUCAAGGAGGUGAAACAGGAUGCAGAGGGCUUCUCAAGGUAGGGUUACCCCAGAGCAUUUGAGCAUUUUCCUAAAGGAAGAUGAAGGGAGUAGUAGCCACCAGUGGCUGAGUUCUCCCCUCUACAUCCCACUGGAUAUCACCAAUCCCUAAUUCUCCACUCCAAAGCCCUAGCUCUGCCUUGAUAGAGUGGGGAUGUGCCUGGGCCAUUAGUAGCCAUUGUCCACUCUUUUAUUGCUUGGGCUUUUUAGGGGGACCUUUAUGCGAAGAUGCUCCCAACCUCAUCACAUCUGGGACCUUUUUGCGAAGAUGCUCCCAACCUCAUCACAUCUGGGACCUUUUUGCGAAGAUGCUCCCAACCUCAUCACAUCUGGCCAAAGUGCUUUUAGUCACAAGCGGCAGAACUCAGUUCACAGGAACACAUAUGAAAAGUGGAUGUAGAGAUAACUAUGAGGGAUAUGAGACUUUAAUUAAGCAAAGUACCCGGCCUCGUCAUUCUCUCUCCUCCUGGGCUGUGGUCUCUUGGCUCAGCCUUUCUCUCUUCGUGACUUUGGUUUGCCUAUGGUUUUAUAACAUGGCCCUAACAAGUAAGUCCUCCUUGAUCAUGACAUUUACUUGAGCUCCCUAUGACCAAACAGAGUCUGCUUUUUAAUUUCAAACUCUUAAGAGAGAAAAACCGGAUGGCUGUUUAUUGCCAACACGUUGGCUGGCCUUGGGUACUUAUUCCUGGUCUAGUUAGCCGCGGCUGAGGAGCAGAGCAUGUGGUAUGAAACACAUAUAAGGUAGCAGGGGCUGAAAGUGGGAAACAACUUCUCUGAGAAGCAACCCAAGCUGGUAUUCCACCCAAGGUGUGCCUGAUGCACCCCCUGUGUGGUUCUGGGAUUCACCCGAGGGACAGGUAAUAGCCGUCCUCAGUGACUGUCUCGGCAGAGGCUGGGCUUGGAGCUCAAAGGCCAGGGAAGCAGCAGGUCCACUGAUGCAGCUGCCACCUCCACAGCAUGCUGGGGACAUGGUGACAUUCUCCUAAGAGCACUUACAGAGACAGUGUCCUGUGAAAGCAGCGCUGGACUGGGAGUUGGCAGUCCUGGCUUGUCAUCCAGCUCGGCUGCUAACCCCCAUGACCCCGGGGAACCGACCUUCUUCCUCUAGGUCUUAGAUUCUCCAGAAGUUAAAAAUGAAUUUAAAAACCAUUGUUAUUAAUAAUAAUAAACAGCAUUGAAUGAAAUCAUCUCCAGGGUUCUUUUCAAUCCCUAAGAUUUCCCUAAGCCUCCCCCAUCUCCACUUGACAACUUCCCAGAAAUGCUUUCAAAUGGAGCUCUUUAACCCAUAAUUUGGUGGGGCCUCUGCCAGCUGCCUCUCUCCCACAACACACCCAGUCCCUGUGAUAAGUCCUCCUCAGGGGCUUUCCAGCCUAGACCUGCAGCUAUUCAAGAAAGUCCAGGCAGGGCCUUCCCGGGCAACUGAUUUCUGAGCUUGUUCGACGGGGAGGAGGGGGUCUGAGCAUUUGCUGUCUGGCCACUCCAAAGAGGGAAGUCUGGGCCUGAAGACGCAUCUACUGGGGGGUUUCCACAUUGAUGAUCAGGGCCUGGGAGGCCAAGAGAAGCUCCAGAAGAAGGGUCAGCAAAAUCCCCAGAGAAACGGGGACUAUGAGUGGAACAGAGCUGGAGAGGAAGAACGGAAAACACUGUGGGUUCCCGGGACGGGGGCAGGGAGGAGGGAAAGUUUGUGUCUUUUGGCAGGAAAUGAAUAACAUUCAAAGAAUAUGCAAAAUGCCAUUCUAAUUGGCACCUGUUCCCUUUGGAGCCAGUCACUCGGCCCACGGCAUCUGAGGGUGAGUCUGGUUUGGGUCUCCCCAGGGGAGGAAUACAGCACAUUGAGAUCCACUUGAAUGAUAAGAGAGGCACUGGUCCUAAGUGGGGUAGAGGAACGGAAGGUACCCUCAGCCUCCAUGGCUCCUUCCCAGCCCCAAAUGCUCUGUCACAACCCCCCCAGCUCAACCCCAGGCAGAUGGCUACAAAUUUUGCAGGGGCCUCUGAGCAUUCCCUUGGCUAACAGCCACAUUCCAGAACAGCAUAUGUUUCAUCUCAAAUCCACAAGGUUUGCACUUCCAAGCGGAGCCAAAGAGAAAAACCUUGGCCCAGGCUGCAAAUUUCUUAGGAGAGGUGGGGGUCAGGGGCGGCCCCCAGGGAGGUUGUAGCUGUUAUGUUGAAGAACAUUUGAGUUCAAGUUCAUGCAAAGCUAGGUCCCAAAUAUAUGACACCCACAUUCCUAAUUCAUAACCCCUCAAAGUACCUACCUGGAGAAGGAGUGAGCAGCGCUGCUUCCUCUUGCUGUCACCCAAAUGGCCCUCAUGCCACCUGCAUGUUCCUCCAGCCCCAUAACAGUUCUGCACCUUUGCCUAACUUCAUGGCCCUUUUGAAUCAGUGAUUCACAGCCCAGGGCUGUGUGGAGUCUGGGUGGGGAGGGAAGAAACAGGGUGACUCCUGAUCUCACUCUACCCCUUAAAAAAUGCCUGGACCUCAUCUGUGCUGGCUCCCAUCUCCGUGCUCUGAAAUUUAUUUGGCUACUGAAAGACACCAAGCCUGAAGGAGGGUUUAGGAAGGACAGGGCUGAGCUGGGUGGAAAGGAGGAGUAAGGCAGGGGAAAUAUGAAGGCAUGAGAGCUAGAGGGGGCGGCGGGGCAGAGGUGCAGAAAGGGACACAGAAGGGUCUCAGCUGGGAAGAGGGAGAGGUAAGCUCUCUCCUGGCGGGUGGGGAAUGGGGGGACAUUGGGAGUCCUGGUCCUCUGGGGGUUCUGCUCUGUGGUAAGCUAAGGGAUUUCUGACAGCAAAGUAAACUGUGGUGUGCUGAGUUUACCCAGCUCCAAUAAGCAGUGUUGGAGUGUUUAAUGUUUCCUUCCCACUGAAUUGGUUGACAGGCACUGAACCGCAGCCAGCCCCUUGCUGUUUCUUGGGGAGGUAGUAGGUGGGGAGGUUAGUACAGGGCUGUCAGGAAAGCUGGCAUCGCUGACCCCAACCCAGGAUGCGGAGGCUUGGGUGGAAGCCGGGAAGUUCCCCUCACAUAGGCCCGAAGUUCCCAUCAAGGAGGAGAAGCCUGAAAUACAAGUCACCUCCUUAUCCCAACCAUCCCAGCCCGGCUGGUGCGCACCAGCCCUCCUGCGCUCUGCAAAAUACAGCCAUUUAUUUCUCUCGUCAUGCUCAGCUUUAUUAAAUGCCUGCCUAAGGGGCUGCAGCCUCAAACAGCCAUGCUUAUGCAGAUGGAUGCAGAGGACAGACACACAGACCACAAAAUAAAUCAGGAAGACACCAGAGCUCAGCGCCCGAGUACAAAAUAAACUAUGCCUGGCAGGAUGCCCAGCACGAGGUGCUGGCUUUGUGCUAAGCAAGGAUGAAUGGGUUGAGGGAUAGGGAAAAAUGACUUUCUUUUCUCUCAAUCCAAGGAGACUCCUGGGAAGAAACUAAAAUGCACAAAGCUCUUAGAUGGAAUGGAAGAGAAAGUUCGGACAGAAGGGAUCUCAGGGCGUGGAGUGGGCACGAGCACAGGGGAGGGGCAAGAGAAGCAGACGAUGGUGCAUCCAGACAGCGAGUACGUGUAAAGGGCAUGGAACAGCUCAGAAAAAGGACAUGGGGAAGGUUGGAGUGGGCUUUGGGCAUAGAGCUAGAAGCUGUCCAGGAACUGCAGCAGAGAGCCCUGAGCUACUACUGCAUCCUCCCCAUCCAACUAGCAGAGAAUCGGAGGUACACUGUGGACCUAUAGAGCAAGGGGAGGGGGCCAAGUGCUGGGGAAGUGGGAGGAGCCACAGUGGCACCGAGGAGCAGCCCAGGUGAAUGACCAGGGCAUGGGAUGCCCAUUAAGCAGUGAGCAUGAAGAGGGAGGGGGAAUGUGACAAGAUUAUCAAGGGGUGCACAGCAAGGUGGGGGAACUGCCUGGAUGAAGACAUCUUAAAAUACAAUAAAGAAAUAAAUAAGCCAGCAGGGGUCAUUCAUGGCUUGGGAGUGGGAGGAUGAGCGAGUUUGAGGAUACUGCUCAGAAUCAUGGUGGGGUGUGUAGGUAUGUAAAGGUAACACUGCUGCUAAGAUCUUUAUGCAAUUUCAGUCAUAUUUUCUUGGAUCUCAAGUCCUGCAUUUCUACAAAAAAUAUUUAGAAAUAGCCCCCCUUGGCCAGGUGUGG